rnacentral:rRNA from 1 species
UUCUGGGAGGAUUGACAGAUUGAGAGCUUUUUCUUGAUUCGCUGGAUGGUGGUGCAUGUCCGCUCUUAGUUUGUGGGGUAAUUUGUCUGGUUAAUUCUGAUAACGAAUGAGACUCUAGCCUUUUAAAUAAGUCCGUGGUUCUCUAUACCUUGCACCCUUCUUAGAGAGACAAGCGGCUCCUAGCCGCACGAAACAGAGCAAUAACAGGUCUGUAAUGCCCUUAGAU